rnacentral:lncRNA from 1 species
AUGGAAAUGAGAAAAUGGCUAUAUUUGGAAAGAAGUUUAAGAAAUUCAUGAAGAUGAAUAAGUUUUCAAAUAAAAGAAAACCUUAAAAGAAAAUAAUUAAAGGUGAAUCUAGUAAAAGAGAAAAAGAUUCAAUUGUAUCUUAUGAAUGCAAAAAGUCAGGCUAUAUCAAGUUUGAUUGUUUUUUGUGGAAAAAUUAAAAUGUAAAGAAGUCUAAAAAGAAGACACUAUAUCCAAAGCA